rnacentral:lncRNA from 1 species
CCAAACUCCGAUUACGACGAAGUAAGCGGGGAUUCGAGGGAACCAAAACGAAGGUAGGUCUCUUUUUUGUUAUAUCUUUUACACACCGAAUAAAGAGCAAGAAAAAAAAAGGAUGAGAACUAAAUCGAAGGAAAGGCUUGAUUAAAAAAAUCACCUUUUCAAAAUUUCUUUCUAUUCGAUUGCUUUGUAUAUCUCCGUAAAAAAAAUUAUAAUGACAAAGUUCUUGGCUUUAUAGCCGAAUGAUGAAAACUAAAAAAAAAUACUAUCUUUUUGUCCAUUUUUCUUCGUUUUAUUGUUGUGUUUGUCCCUUUUUGUAGGUACGUGGUGUGCGUUGCGCGUGUACGAGGACUAUGUGCUGGCGUACGGAGGCGCGAUGGAGGCCGUACAUAGGGAGGCCAGCUGCAGCGCGAGAGGAACCCUAGGUUGCUGGCUGCAAAUGUUUUAGUUGUGGGCCAUUGUAUUGGCCUAGGGUUAAUAUUGUUUUUGUGUUGAAAUUGGGCCUGUAAACUAGACUGUUAUAAUUUUGUUUGGUUCAUUAUUGUUUUGUAUUUUGGUGUUGAUAUGGACCCGAGCAAAUUGGCCUGUUUACAGCUGCCCCUCUUUGCUCAUUGUUGUGUAACGAGAAUAGAGCAAAGACUUCAAAGAAGGCCAAUUUUACCUGGUCUCGUCGAAUCAUGACUUUUUUGGUGUUUUUCUUCUUCGAGGUAGCCUUGUUCCAAUCUUCUGCAACUUCAAGGGUAGAGUAAUUGUUGCCCCAAUCUACUCCACUGUAACUCUAGAGAGACAGGCCUUGUAGCUCUUAAUCUGCUCUACUGCAACUGCUCCACUGCAACUUUAAGGAGAUAAGGUUUGCGUAUUUUUAUUCUGCUCAACUACAACUUCAGAGAAAAAAGGAUUGUGGUUUCGAUCUGCUCCACUGCAACUUCAAGGAGAUGAGAUCUGCUAUCUUCAGUCUGUUCCACUACAACUUCAGGGAGAUAAGACUUGUUACUUCAACCCGCUCUACUGUAACUUCAAAGAGAUAAGGUUUGUGGCUUCGAUCUGGUCCACUGCAACUGCUCCACUGUAACUUCAGGGAGAUAAGAUCUGCUAUCUUCAGUCUGCUCCACUGCAACUUCAGGGAGAUAAGACUUGUUACUUUAACCCGCUCUACUGCAACUUUAGAGAGAUAAGGUUUGUGUAUUUUUAUCCUACUCUACUGCAACUUCAGAGAGAUAAGAAUUUUAUGAUGACUUAAUCUGACCUACUGUAAUUUCAACGGUAUAGGAUUUGUGGUUUCACCAGUCUGUUACGCCGCUCUCUGAGGAACAUGACCUGUAGAAUUGAUUUUAUGGGACUAUUUUUAUGCCAAAUGAUUAGGAUGCUUUGAUCAGAUGAAUCGAAUGCUCCUAACUAGGUGUAUAUGAUAUUUGCAUGAAUGUAGAAUGUCGUGAGAAUGACCCCUUUUUAAUAUUUGGGUUGUCAUUACUCGUUGUUCAUCAAGGUUCUGUCACUGAUAUGUUAUCAUGUCUCCUUUGUUCGGCUGGUAUCUUUGGCAGAAAAUCCCUAUUUGUUCAACUGGUUUUCUUUACUGCAUCUUUAGUGAUAUAGAACCUGCAGUUUCUCCUAUCCACCCCACUGCAACUCAAAGGUGUAGGAUUCGAAUUUUCCCCCAUCAAUUUGGUCUGUUACACCAUUCCUCAGGUGUCAUGGCCCAACGUGUAUGCCUGAUAUUUUCAUGAAUGUAAAAUAUCAUUUUUCUUUUCUCGAGAGUGACCCCCUUUUAUAUUGAUCAUUUUCCAUCGAAAUUGUAUCAUUGACGCAAUAUCUCAUCUUUUUUUCAAUCACCGUUUUGGAUAAAAAAUCCAAAGAGAUGGUCUCAGCUUAAACCAUUCCCACUCAAAUAUUUCCUUAAGCUUGGUAAGAUCUAAAUAAUAGUUUUGUUUCAGACUCUUAUAUUUUUUAGAAGCAUUCCAAAGUAAUAUGCGAAACUCCGUUUGUGAAAGUAUUAUUAGUCCAUUAAUCAUUAUUUCAAUGCAACAUGCUUGCAAUAAAUCAUAGUAAUGGAUAAGAAUGGAAUUUAAUUAGGGCAUAACUUGAAAUAAAUAAAUUAUCGAAGAUAAAAAUGAAAGUUUAUUGGGGAUGCAUAUCUUGAAAAGAAAAAUAUUUCAAAGACAGCUGAUUUAUUAUGAAUAAGAUGAAGACUAGGUGCCCUUGAUAUCGUAGCCUGAGUUUCUCUGUAUGAACUUCUUGAAGACCAAUUUAGACUCGACAUGUGUUUAGGAGAUCAGAAGUACUUUGUCAAUGCCCCAAGAUGCGACAUACCCUUUCCCUUGUCAAUUUAGGUAUAAAAAGAUCAUCGCCUUCCCCAUCUUUGAUCAACAUCUGAGCUGCCCUUUAUGGGUUUUCAACUCAAAUCCCAUUUAGUCUCAAGGUACCCUUUGCGGGUUUUUACCUUGGCCUCUCCUUUUUUUUAAGGAAGGUCUUAAAGCGCUCUUUGUGGGUUUUCACUUUGGCCUCUUUCCCUCUUUAAGUGUAGUACUUCUUGACAGAAUCCAAAUUCACAGAAUUGGGCAAGUUUUUCCCAUCCAUUUCAGCCAGAAUUAAUGCUUCUCCGAAGAAAGCUUUCUCCACCACAUAAGGCCCCUCCCAAAUGGGCAUCCAUUUUCCUCUAAAAUCCUUUUGUAUAGGAAGGAUCUUUUUCAGAACUAGAUCUUCCUCAUAAAACUCUCUUGGGCGAACUUUUUUGUCAUAAGCUCGCAUCAUUCUUUUUUGAUACAUCUGACCAUGCUGAAUAGCUCUUAACCUCUUCUCUUCAAUCAAAUUCAACUGGUUAUAUCGAGACUGUAUCCAUUCUGCUUCAUCUAACUUCAACUCUGACAACUCUGAGAGAAGGUAUCUCCACCUCAAUGGGUAGAACUGCUUCCAUUCUAUAGACCAAUGAGAAAGGCGUUGCCCCAGUAGAAGUUCUGACAGAUGUUUGGUAGGCAUAAAGAGCGAAUGGCAACUUCUCAUGCCAAUCUCUGUAAGUUUCGGUCGUUUUUCCCACAAUCCUCUUGAUAUUUUUAUUGGCUGCUUCCACUGCCCCAUUCAUUUUUGGGCGAUAUGGUGAUGAAUUACGGUGUCUGAUCUUAAACUGACUGCAGACCUCUGCUAUUGUGCUAUUGUUCAAUUUCAAUGCAUUGUCAGAAAUGAACUUUUCAGGCAUCCCAUAUCGACAUAUGAUCUCCUUUUUCAGGAAUUUGUUCACAGCUGAUUUUGUGACAUUGGCAUAUGAGGCCGCAUCUACCCACUUGGUGAAAUAGUCAAUGACCACAAAGAUGAAUUGAUGCCCAUUUGAAGCCUUCGGUGAGAUUGGCCCUAUGACAUCCAUGCCCCACAUGGAAAACGGCCAUGGAGAAGUCAUAACAUGCAAAGGCAAAGGAGGUAUAUGAACUUAAUCACCAUAAAUUUGACAUUUGUGACAUUUCUUGGCAUAAUUAAUGCAGUCUCCUUCUAUGGUUGACUAAUAAUAUCCAAACCUCAUAAUUUAUUUGGCCAUUGUGAACCCAUUAGUGUGUGUUCCACAAACGCCUUUGUGAACUUCUUCCAAGAUUUUCUUGGCCUCCACAGCAUCCACACAUCUCAAAAGUACUUGAUCCUUUCUUCUUUUAUAUAGGAUUUCACUAUCUAAGACAUAAUCACAGGCUAGCCUUCUCAACGUCCUUUUGUCAUUCUCUGUUGCUUGAUCUGGAUAUUCGCGAUUUCUCACAUAUUACAAUAUAUCCUGAUACUAAGGGUGGUCAUCUCUCUCCUCUUCUUCCAUGUUGUAACAAUAAGAUGGGGCUUCACAAAUACUCAUCUGAAUGGGUUUUACAUCUUCUUGUUUGCUCAUAUUAAUCAUUGAAGCCAAAGUAGCCAAAGUAUUCGUCAUCUGGUUCUCAUCUCGCGAGAGAUAAUUGAAAGUAAUAUCAUCAAAUUCUUCAAUUAACCCCAACACUAUGCCUCGAUAAUUAAUCAAUUUGGAGUCUCUUGUCUCCUAUUCACCUCUAAGCUGGUAGAUCACUAGUGCGGAAUCUCCAUAUACUUCCAACACCUUGAUCUUACGUUCUAUGGAUGUGCGGAGUCCCAUGAUGCAUGCUUCAUAUUCUGCCAUAUUAUUUGUGCAAUCAAAAUCCAAUUUAUAAGUGAAUGGAUAAUGAUCUCCAUUUGGGGAUACCAAAACUUCCCCGAUUCUAUUACCCACAGCAUUUGAUGCUCUAUCAAAGUUUAAUUUCCAUGGGUGACCUUUUGUAACGUUCUCUUCAGUAGCCGCCACAUAUAUUAAUUCUUCAUUGGGGAAAUCAAAAUUCAAGGGCUCAUAAUCUUCUAGAGCUCUACUAGCCAGAAACUCUGCUAUUGCGCUCCUUUUCACGGCCUUUUGACUCACGUAGACUAUGUCAAAUUCAAAAAGCAGAAUUUGCCACCUAAUCAUCCUUCCAUUCAAGGCAUUUGACUCCAUCAUAUAUUUUAGGGGGUCCAACUUUGAGAUUAACCAGGUCGUAUGGUACAAUAUGUAUUGCCUCAACCUCCGAGCUGUCCAGAUCAAGGCACAACACAAUUUUUUGAUUGGCGGAUAUCUCAACUCACAUUCCGUGAAUUUUUUACUGAGGCAAUAUAUCGCCCUUUCUUUUCUUCCUGAUUCAUCAUGCUGACCAAGCACACAUCCCAUAGAGUUAUCAAACACUGCUAAAUACAGUAUUAGAGGCCUAUCUAAGCUUGGAGGUGACAACACUGGAGGAUUUGACAAGUACUUUUUAACCUUAUCAAAAGCUCUCUAGUAUUCAUCAUCCCAUUCUCCUGGGUUGUGCUUUUUAAGAAGACGGAAUAUGGGGUCGCAUUUUUCAGUUAAUUGUGAAAUAAACCAAGCAAUGUAAUUUAGUCUUCCUAAGAAGCCUCAAACUUCUUUUUGAGUACGUGGUGGAGACAACUCUUAUAUAGCUCGAACUAUGUCUGAGUCAAUCUCAAUUCCCCUUUCACUGAUUACAAAGCCUAGUAGCUUUCCUGAUCUAACUCCAAAAGUACAUUUCGCUGGAUUAAGCUUUAGCUGAAAUUUUCUCAAUCUCAAGAAUAGCUUUCUCAACACUUUGAUGUGCUCCACUUUAGUUCGGGAUUUGGCAAUCAUAUUGUCUACAUAAACUUCAAUCUCUUUAUGUAUCAUAUCAUGAAAUAAGGUUACCAUGGCUCUUUGAUAUGUCGUUCCAGCAUUCUUCAGCCCAAACGACAUCACCUUAUAACAAAACGUGCCCCACAAGGUUAUGAAGGUAGUCUUUCUCAUGUCGUCAGGAUGCAUCUUUAUCAGAUUAUAUCCCAAGAAGUCGUCCAUGAAGGAGAACAAUGAGUAGCCUGCCGUGUUAUCCACUAGAGUAUCAAUGUGAGGCAAGGGGAAGUUGUCUUUUGGGCUAGCCUUAUUUAAGUCUCUAUAAUCAACACACAUUCGUACUUUCCCAUCUUUUUUAAGAACAGGUACAAUGUUAGCUAUCCAUUCCGAAUAUUUGACCACCCGCAGGAAUCCAGCAUCAAAUUAUUUUUUGACUUCCUCCUUUAUUUUUAGCACAACGUCUGGCCUUAUCCUUCGAAGUUUUUGCUGAAUUGGUUUGCAAUCUUCUUUUAUGGAAGGCGAUCCACCGCAAUAUCGAUGCUUAACCCGGGCAUAUCUUGGUAGGACCAUGCGAAGACAUCUUUAAAUUCUUGAAGCAGCCUAACAAGGUCCCGCUUUGUUUCUUUGUUAAUGCACGUUCCGAUUCUUACAGCUUUUCCUUCUUCCAAGGUCACCACCUCCACUGUCUCUUUAUUAGAAUUUGUUUUUCCUCUUGUUCUACCAUCCUUAACAAGUCCAGAGAUAAGUUACAAUCUCCGUCAUCUUCAAAGUCUUGAGAUCCCUCUAAACACAUGUCUUGCUCAAAAAGUGAUUCUGAGUCAGUAGUAGCGUCACUCAUGACAUUGAUAUGCAGGGACCUAUUAUAGGUACAAAAAUAUAUAAAGAAUGAAUGAAUUUAAGAAUUAUUGUUUGCAUAGUAUGAUUAUGAAGGAAUGAUUGAAGAAAGUCUAAAAGGACCAAGAAUAAUUACUCCGACGAAAAGAAUAAAACAAUUACUUGUAGAAAGAAUGAAAUAAUAUUUGCUCAAAAUGGUAGCGAAAAUGUACUUCAUUGAAAUAACGAUGUUUGAACAUGAGCUUAUUUCACAAAGAAAUUCUUAUUGCCUCUAGACUUAAAGCAACAAGAUUGUUUCGAGCAUUACUCUGAGUAAGCUCUAAAUACUACAGGAAUGUCUUAUGCAGUCCAGUUGCCUAGAACACUCCUAGGUUCAUAAGGACGAAUAUCUGACAAGGUCCCCUCUUCAGUUGCUUCUUCGAAUAUGGCGUUGAUGUGCAUAUCCUUCAACAUUUCUUCGAUGUCUUUUUUCUCCGACAUCGUCCGUUUGGGAUGAAUAAUCCCUUCUGAUACAAAAAUCUUCGAUAUGUGAGGGAUUAUCAUAGGUUCCCACUUGAUUUCAUCACCACUCACACGUGUCCUUCUUUCCUACCUUUUCUCUAAUUCAUUCUUUCUUUGUCUGGCAUCUGGCCUGAACCCCAAACCAAAGUGGUCAUAUUUGUCCUUCAACAUAGGCACCUCAACUCUUCCCUGAAGACUCCUCUCAAGUCCCCUUCCUGGUAAAGCUCAUCUUCCAACCAUCAACUGUAGACUCAUCCUUGUAGUUUUGGAUAAUUUCGGCAUCAGAAUCUUACUCCCCUCAGUAAUGAAUGUCGCAUUAACAAAUUCCAAAAAUCGAAAUAAACAUUCAAUUGCUCCGUCAUCUGUAUCCAAAUAUGGUGCAUCACUGCUUACAGUUGCAAUGAUAUCCUCUUCAGCAUUUAUCGUUAUCAACUGACCCUCUAAUGCUAACUCCAACUUCUGAUGCAACGAUGAAGGCACAGCCCCUACUGAAUGUAUCCAAGGUCUUCCUAAGAGGCAGUUGUAUGAGGGUUUGAUAUCCAUAACCAAAAAGUCCACCUCAUAUGUAGUUGGGCCAAUCAACAAAGGUAUUUCUAUUCUCCCCAUGGCUCUUUUUUCUGUGCCAUCGAAUGCGCGUACUAUAUUCUGACACCCCUUCAUGUGCAAGCUAUGCACUGGUAAUCUAUUUAAUGUAGAAAAUGGCAAUACAUUCAAUGCCGACCCAUUGUCUAUCAAGACUCUUGGCAGUGUGUAUCCUUUGCAUCUGGUAGUGAUGUGCAGAGCUUUAGUGGACCCCCUCCCUCCUGGUGGUAUUUCGUCAUCGUUGAAGAAGAUGAAAUUAUCAACACUUAUGUUAUUAACUAGCUGAUCCAACUUAUUGACAGAGAUAUCAUUAGUCACGUACGUCUCAUUUAGCACUUUCAUCAAUGUAUGUCGGUGGACCUCUAAACUUAAGAGCAAAGCUAGUAUAGAUAUACGAGCUGGUUAUUUAUGAAACUGUUCCACCAUGCUAUAUUCACUAUAUUUCAAAAAUUUCAGGAAUUCUUUAGCUUCCUCAUCUUUUACUGGUUCAUUAAUAGGCAACUCAAACUCAACAGCUUUUCUUUUUUUUUUUCUGCUAUUGGAGUUUUUCCUUUUACAAGUUCUAUUCGGGCAUUCACCAAAUCAUAGCGUCUUCCACUACGCGUGUGAGAACCCAUAUCUUGAUCCUCCUUAGCUGAACUCUCCUUCCCCGGGAUUGUCACAUUACAAUCAUAACUCCAUGGGACUCUUUUAUUGUCCUUGUAAGAGAAAACUACUGAUUUUUGAAUUAUAACCUUUAGUGCCAUUUGAAUUCCCAUCUCAUUUUUCGGACGUGAAAUGAUGACCAUAGGAUAAUUGACCUUCAGACCCUUCGACGUUGAUUCUGACGUGCAUAUACACCCCUCCUCUUUGGCCUCUUCAUAAAAUUCUAUCUCCUUGUUUUCCAUCAGGCUCUGACUCAAGACUCUGAACUCUUCACAUUCUUAAAUUUUGUACCUCUCUUCAUGAUGGAAUUCGCAUUAGCUCUCUAUCCCUUUGCCGCUCCUUUCUGGAUCCAAAAUAAUUAAUCCUCUUUUUGACAUCUUCUUCCAGACCCAUUUUAAAGGAGUUUUUACUUCUAUAAUGUCUACCUUGAUCUUUCUCCCCAUACUUCCACUUGUCGCGUUUACCCCGCCGUCGGUGUGAUUAGGUAAUGGAUUUUCUGCACUGGGUGCAUUAUCAAACUUCACAAUGCCCACUUUAAUAAGUCUUUCAACUACUUUCUUAAAGGCAGUGCAGUUUUCUAUUGAAUGCCCCGGAAUUCCUACAUGGUAGUCACAUUGAGCGUUUGCAUCGUACCAUUUGAGAUAUGGGGGUUGUAAUAACUUUAGGUAAAAAGAGGCCACCACAUGUGUAUCGAAUAAAUUUUUAUACAACUCCUUAUAUGACAUUGGGAUAGGCGUGAAUUGAAGCUUCUCAGUGUUUUUCUUUAUGCCAGACUCCUGUCUUAACGAACUUUGAGUCCAUUAGUCACUGCUCUCGGCUAAUUAACAGUAAACAAUUUUGAGUACCCUAUGUUCGUAGUGUUUACCUUGUUUUCUUUUUUCUGCGGGGCUGGCCUUUUGGUAUUCUCUCCUGCCUCUAUCCUUCCACUUUUUAUUGCAUUCUCAAUCAUUUCUCCAGUCAUUACCACAUCUGAGAAGCUUUUUGUGGCCCUUCUCAACAUGUGUGUAAUGAAUGGGGCCUUCAAAGUUUGAUAAAGAGCAUCGCAGUUUCUUUUUCUAAAAGCGGUGGCUGUACUUGUAUGGCAACUUCUCUCCAUCUUUGCGCAUAUUAUCUGAAACUUUCAAUUGGUUUCUUCUCCAUAUUCUGUAGAGUAAUCCUGUCAGGAGUCAUAUCCGUUACAUGGUUGUACUACUUCAUAAACGCUUAGGCCAAAUCUUUCUACAAACUAACCUUGGUACGACUCAGCUGAUUGUACCACUUAGAUACUGCCCCCACUAAACUGUCUUGGAAGCAAUGAAUCAGUAGUUGAUCGUUGUUAACAUACCCAGUCAUUCUUCUGCAAAACAUGAUAAUAUGAACUUCUGGGCAGCUCGUUCCAUUGUAUUUUUCAAAUUCCGGCAUUUUGAACUUGGGGGAAGGACAAGUCUGGGACCAAACUCAGAUCCUUAGUGCCAAUUCCAUGAUGACUAUCAGCGCUUUCCAUUGCUCUGAAUUUUUCUUCCAGCCAUUUACAUUGUUCCUCUAAUUGCUUUUGUGAUUCCAUCCUUGCCUUUUCCUCUUCUGGUUAUUAAUAAGGUUAGAGCCUGAGCCAUCUUGGAAAUUCAUUGGUAUUGAAGCUCCAGCCUGAAUCUGUUGAGGCCUGAUCGUAACAAAUGGUCUCUGCAGAUUAAUCUCAGGUUGUGUUGGUACAUGUGGUGGAGUGAAGCUAGGAGGAUAUUGAGGGUCUUCAUUAUUUUCUCCAACAUUAUCCAUAAGACCCUUUCCCUUAUCCAUUCUUCCCAUCAGCAAUUGGGACAACUAACUCAUUAUCUCUCUUUGGGAUUCCAUCAUUUGAUCUUUCAUCUCUUGCUAAAUCUUGGCUAGCUGCUCUUGCAUCUGUGACUGCAUUUGUUCCUACAUGUCCUUUUGCAUUUGCUCCAAUUUUUCAAGUCUUUUGUCCAUUGACUUAGUCUUUUUCCUUAUACCGUAAGGGUGCGUACUUGGUUGGUUUUCGUUGGUUUCCAGAUUACUAAAAUAAUUUUUAAUUAAUUAGAAUCUUUUUAUGACCUUUAAUGCAUAUGAUGUAAUGUAAUGCAAAUGUAUGAAUGCAAAAGAGGCAUCAAUUUUGAAUCGAUUCCAUUUAGAAAACUUUACUAGAAAAUAAAAUUCUUUACAUAAAACUGAGUUACAAAUAAGACUUCGCCCUAAUCUCAGAGUCUAAAUUUUCCUAAGCAACGAGGAUAGCUUUUGCCCCCGACCUGACUCCAACUCGUACUUCAAGCUCAGUGUGUCCACUUAUACCGCUAAAGCUUGCAAGUAAGCGGCUACUUCCCUAAUCUGGGUUACGGCUUCUCCCAUAAUGUAAUCCCUAUUUUUGACUUGGUCUUGCGCAUGGUGAAGUUGUUCCUACCAACACUCCUCACUUGCUUCGAAAAACUCAAUCCGCAUCUCACAGCUUUGUAAUGACACUUCUAAUUCUUCUACUUUUCCUUUCAUUUCUUCUAACUUACUCAAGCUUGCUCUCAACUCUUUUCGAUACAGAUGAAGAGACUUCUCGAGUUCUACCACUCUAGCCCUUAAUUCACCUCGUUCAUUUCUUCUUUCUGAUAGACUCUUCUCUAAAUCCUCAUUUCGUGCCUGAGCCUUUCAGAAUUUCCUUUCCCAUCGGUCGGCUUUGGUCUUUUCCUCUCGAAUUUCCUGGCGCCAUUGUUCUGAAGUUUUACCUAACCCAGAAGUCCUCAUAGACAGGCAUAACUUCUUAUAAUCUGUUUUCAAACUGUCUAGAUCCUCUUCAGCCUUACUUUUCCCUUUUCUCAACUUCUCAGCUUCUGACCUCUGAACAUCUACGUCUAAUCUCAGAUGUAUUUUUUUCUUCUUCCAACUGCUCUAUCAUUUUCCCAAGCUUAGAACUCUUCUUCUCGAAGUCUUGCUUUAUAAUUUCUAACUCUGACGGGGCGACUUGUAAUUGUUCCUCCAUUGGUCGGGUGCUUUCUACACUUGGUCUAGGAAUAUUGUCAUUGACCAUUUUUCUAAACCAUCCAUUAUUUUUAGGUGUCACCAUAGAACUAACAGCCAACCUCUUCAUCCAACGAGUUUGCUUCCAAGCAUCAGAUAGUUCCCGAACUUUCUUCUUAUAAUGGUUACCUUUAUAUCAAAAUUCACACUGAGCCAGCCCGUAAGUAGUGGGUAUAAACUGCUUCGAUUUAUACUGCCUUAAUGCCAACAAAGGAGUAUACCCAGUGGCUCCCCAAAUUCCUAACAAUGGUACCCAAUCAAAGUUCCCAUAUCGAUACAGGAUCUCAUCAGGAACCAUCUAAAAAACUUUCCACUCUAUAUCCCCCUCCUUGAGGUUUUGAAGAAUUUCUAUCCACUUCUCCUCUGAAAUAUCAUCUCUCCUUUGCAUAGCCCCCUCCUCCUUUAACGGGGAGUAACUUUCAGAAAACACCCAGUAGGAAACCUAUUUCACUUUCCAAAAAUGCCCAUGAAACCACACCAUCAACAACUGUGCACACCCAAUAAACCGCCCCUCGCCUAUCUUCUGACACAUGCUCAAGGAUCUGAACGUCUCAACCAAUAUUGCAUGUACAGGUGUGAUUCCCUUCUCAAGGCGGGUGAAUAAAUCAGUGACUUCCUCAUCCACAUGCCUUAAAGCCUUAGGAAAAAUUACCAAUCCAUAAAUGCUUAAGGCGAAGAUAUCGACUCUCUUUCUUUCAUCCGGAUGUGUUAAAACCAAAUCUCUCAAAUUCUCCCAAGAAAUACAUUUACUAUCCCCCUUUUUUUGAAUCCGAGUAAUGGCCCAAGGCUCGCUCAUUCCUGAAAUAUUCAUCAAUUUCUUCGCGAAAUUUUGACCAUUAUAAACCUUGGCAUAAGCUUUUCUAACUUGAACUUUUGGACACCUGAGCAAGGUAGUAUAUUCCUCUAUGGUAGGCACUAAAUCCACUCCCCUAAAAGUGAAACACUUGUAAGCAGAAUUUCAAAAUUGCACCAUAACUCAGAACAGAUGCUUAUCCACCCUAAUAUCUGGCAAGUAGGAUAUAUCACCAUAGCUUUGAUAGAACAACUGUUUGGUUCCUUCAUCCCAACGAGCCCAUAUAUCUCUCAACCCUUGCAACUCAUUCUGUGUUACAUUGACACGAGUGAAUUUCUGCAACUCUGAUGUAUAUCCUUCUGUCAGGCUAUCCCCUUUCUCCGAUUGUAACUUCUCUGACCAUGCGCGGACGACCGCAUUAUCUUCAACUUUAUUAAGAAAUUCAUUCUUCAUGUUAAAUCUUCUGACUUAGUAAUCGAAUAUGAAUCAACACCUCAUUUAGUAUGCAAUGUCAUGUAAAACACAAUCAAAACAAAACACAAGUUAGUAUCAAAUAUAAGUAAUAAGAUACAAGCAAAAACCAAAAAUAAUCAGAACACAGAUAUGGGCAACUACUAAAGCUUAGCACAACUUUACCUAAGGGUAGCUCUUAAGGUUCACUAUAUGUGGUUCGGUUCUAAAGAGAAGGUACCUGAACCAGCAGAUUCCUCAAUCCUCACCCAUUAUAGGUUCAUAUGGAUCGAGUUCGGUUUAGGGGAAUACAUUUCCCUAUGACCAUGCGGAGAUGAAAAUCUCAUGAAAUCAUGGGUACAGAUGUAUCCUGGAAGCAAUCCACUAGCCCAUGCGGAGGUGAAAACCUCACGAAAGCAUAGUUUCUUACUCCCACUUAAAGGUAUAACCACAACAGUCAUGCAAUGCAAUGCAAUAUUAUUCUACGAGACUCGAACCAUAACAAUCAUACAAACAAAUGCAAUCAUGAUUUUCAAAACAAAUUUUCAAUACUUCGACAAAAGGACAACAAAUAAUCAAUUUUAUGACUUGACAAUCUUGUUCGAUCUCUAGUGGAGUCGCCAAGCUGUCGAAACCAUUUUUUAUUUUGAAAAAAAUUGGGAUCGACUUUGAAAAUGAAACGUGGAGUCGCCACCAAUCUUUUGUUUUAGUGUGAUUGGAUCACCUUAAUAAAAUAUUUUAUUCCAUUUAAAUCAAUUUUGGCCUACGAAAUUCGAGAAAAUGGGUUCGGGAAUCGGUUGCGUACGAGGAAGGAUUAGCACCCUCGCUACGCCCAAAAAUUGGUACCAAAUUGAUUAAAUAAUGUCCUUAUGUCUAAAAAAAAAUUUUGAAAUACGAUUUCUUUUAAAACACUUGAAUGACUCAAAUUGGACAUCAAGAUUCGCUCGUUUCAAAGGAAUACAGUAUGGCAUCCAGCACGUUAGGACACGAUCCUUUAAACCCUCGAAACUAGGAUCGAUUUCGAUUUUUAAAAGCCCAUACACUUGAAAAUUACAAAAGGAUGUUCGCUUAUUUGGUGCAACGAAAAAAAUGAAACCCAGCACGGUAGGACACGCUUUCUCGAAUUUCCAAACAUUAAACAUUGCCUUGUUUUAGAAUUUAGGAUGUACGGAUGAAAUUUCAAAGGAAUAUUUGAUUAUUUGGACAAACAGAAAAUCGAAACCCAGCACGGUAGGGCACGAUUCCUCGAGUUCCCAAACAUUACUUUUGAUUUAGUGAAUUUUGAAAUAAAUAAUUGUAGAACUAGCUCAAAACGCAUUAAUUUAACUUGAGAUAAAAUAGAAUAAUUAGUUUGGGAUUAAUAAAUUGAAAAUUUCAAUCGUAAGAGAUGAAAUUAUAAGCAUGUGACAACAUACAUUAAUAAUGUACUAUACUUCACGAAGGAUAAUAGAAUAAACAUAAAAACGAAUUAAUAAAAACAUCAAUAACAUAUCAAAGAAACAUAUCAAAACAAACAACAGUAAGCUUUCGAACAUUAAAUAAUAAAAUUGAGAAAGUAACACCAAAAACUAAUUGACAACAUGAAAUAAUAACACAUAAAACAAUAUGAAAUCCAUGAUAUACAGAAUAGUAUAGACACUAGGAACUAGUACGAUACGAAACGAUAUAAAAACUAUAUAUAAAAAAUUAUAAGUGAAUAACACAUGCAAAAUUUGAAAUAAUUUAUAUAUUAAAAAAACUAAGUAUAUACAUAACUUAUUAUUAAAAUAGAUAUUAUAAAAGAGGAAAUUUGAGUCAAAUAAUGUACAAAAUAUUUUUUUAAAUGAAAUAUCUAUUUAAAGAUGACCAUAUACGUAUAAUAAAAAGAAAAAUAAUUUAAAUGACAUAUACAAUAUGAAAGGUUUUUAAAAUGACAAAAAUGUAUAAUAAAAUAUAUUAUAUAAACAUAAGGUUUAAAUAUAUAUAUAAGUAGAUUUAAAAGAGAUUAUGCAUAUAAAGUAACAUAGAAUUAAUAAUAUAUGUAUGUAGAAUAAAAACUAAGUUUAUCAUGAACUACAUAUGCAUAAUAAUAUAUAAAAAUAUUCAAAUGAAGUAUUAUACAAAAUUUUAUAAUAAUAUGAUAUAAAAACGUUACAAUAGUGAUUUUAAAAGCAAAAUAAAAUCAUUAAGGUAGCUCGAAAUGUAAAAAUAAGUAAACUAGAAUAAAAAAAUGGAUGUUGAGUGUAUCUUUAAAAAUAAUGAUGAAUUAUCAAAUAAAAAAAUUAAAAAACUCAAUUAAAAUAAAAUUAAAAUGAAAGAGACAAAUUAUAAACAAAAUGAACUAUUGAAAUGAAAAAAAAGGGACCAGCGAGCAACGUGUGCGAAUGCGCAGGGACCAAAUCUGGAAAUACUCCAGACCCCAAAACGCAGCAUUGAAGCGUGGACCAAAUUGAGUUCAUGUAGAGAUUACAGAGCUAAAUUUUAGAAACAAAAUGAAACAAAUAAUGCACAAUCGGAUAACAGUGCGAAUGGGGAGGACCAAGCGCGCAAUUAACCCUCUAAAACCAAAGCACGGAUCCUAUCCGGGCACGGGUCAGUUCAUCUGGUUAUGGUUCUUGAAACGGUGCCAUUUUGUAGCCAUUGAGAUUGGCUUAAAACGACGUCGUUUCAUACGUUUCAUAAAAACAAAAUUAAAGAAACCCUAAUCUAACCCUUGGCCAUUUGAAGAGGAAUUCAGCAAAACCCAAACGCAUUCCCUUUCCCCCUCAUUCGGCCGAACCAAGGGGCACCCUUCGAUCGCAGUCUGACCUCCAUAUUUGGUCGACGGUUUUCACACGGAAGGCCUAAUCCGACCCCGUCCAAUCGCGAGUCCAACGUUUUGCUCAAAAGCCUCAAAGUCCUCACCCAAACUCCGAUUACGACGAAGUAAGCGAGGAUUUGAGGGAACGAAAAUGGAGGUAGGUCUCUUUUUCGUUAUAUCUUUUACACACCGAAUAAAGAGCAAGAAAAAAAAGGAUGAGAACUAAAUCGGAGGAAAGGCUAGAUAAAAAAAAUCACCUUUUUUAAAUUUCUUUCUAUUCGAUUGCUUUGUAUAUCUCCAUAAAAAAAUUUACAAUGACAAAGUUCUUGGCUUUAUAGCUGAAUGAUGAAAACUAAAAAAAAAAAUACAAUCUUUUUGUCCAUUUUCCUUCAUUUUGCUGUUGUGUUUGUCCCUUUUUGCAGGUACGUGGUGUGCGUUGCACGUGUACGGGGGCUAUGCGCUGGCGUACAGAGGCGCGAUGGAGGCCGUACAUGGGGAGGCCAGCUGCAGCGCAAAGGGAACCCUAGGUUUCUGGCUGCAAAUGUUUUAGUUGUGCGCCAUUGUAUUGGGCUAAGGUUAAUAUUGUUUUUGGGUUGAAAUUGGGCCUAUAAACUGGACUGUUAUAAUUUGGUUUGGUUCAUUAUUGUUUUGUAGUUUGGUUUUCAUGUGGACCCGGGCAAAUUGGCUUGCUUACAAUUCCAUCUAAAAUAUUUUCACACAUCUUUAGAUUUUUUUUUCCGACUCAUCUAUACCUACUCGCCUUCCACUUAUUCUUCAACACGUUCCUUCUCUUCUAAUUACCAAUACCUGCAAAAAAAAAUCAAUUUUUAAUUUUCGCCUAACAACUUAAAUCCAAAGUGGAAAAAUAUCCUACCAGAUUCAUUGAUUUAAAAAACAGAAUCCUACCAGAUUCAAUCAAAAUAUUUUAUUGGGGGUUAAGUGUUGGCUGGGAUCAAAUAGUGACCUUCAGAAAAUCAAUACCUUUUGUAUUAUUUUUCUUAUUUCUCCGUAGCAUUUGUGUAGUAAUCCUUAAAUCAUUUUUGUCACAUUAUUUUUUUGAAUUUGCACAAUAAAAAGUUCAUUCUUAAAACUAUAUCUGAA